rnacentral:rRNA from 1 species
CGAACGGGCUCUUCGGAGCUAGUGGCGGACGGGUGAGUAACGCGUGAGAAUCUGCCUUCAGGAGGGGGAUAACGACUGGAAACGGUCGCUAAUACCCCAUAUGCCUCCGGGUGAAAAGUAAUUCGCCUGAAGAUGAGCUCGCGUCAGAUUAGCUAGUUGGUGGGGUAAGAGCCUACCAAGGCGACGAUCUGUAGCUGGUCUGAGAGGAUGAUCAGCCACACUGGGACUGAGACACGGCCCAGACUCCUACGGGAGGCAGCAGUGGGGAAUUUUCCGCAAUGGGCGCAAGCCUGACGGAGCAAGACCGCGUGGGGGAUGACGGCCUAAUGGUUGUAAACCCCUUUUCUCUGGGAAGAAGACUGACGGUACCAGAGGAAUCAGCCUCGGCUAACUCCGUGCCAGCAGCCGCGGUAAUACGGAGGAGGCAAGCGUUAUCCGGAAUUAUUGGGCGUAAAGCGUCCGUAGGUGGUUAUUCAAGUCUGCUGUCAAAGCGUGGGGCUUAACUCCAUAGAGGCAGUGGAAACUGAGUGACUAGAGUGCGGUAGGGGUCGAGGGAAUUCCCAGUGUAGCGGUGAAAUGCGUAGAUAUUGGGAAGAACACCAGUGGCGAAAGCGCUCGACUGGGCCUGCACUGACACUGAGGGACGAAAGCUAGGGGAGCGAAAGGGAUUAGAUACCCCUGUAGUCCUAGCCGUAAACGAUGGAUACUAGGUGUUGCUCGUC